AGCUUUGUGCAGUGGCAGUAUCGUAACCAAUGAGGUUUAUCCGAGGCAUGAUUAUUGCUAAUUAAAGGCCCUAUCUCCAAAUACAGUCAUGUUGGGAGUUAGGGCUCCAAAUACAGUCAUGUUGAGAGUUAGGGCUU